rnacentral:rRNA from 1 species
ACGCUGGCGGCAUGCCUAACACAUGCAAGUCGAACGAAGGCUUCGGCCUUAGUGGCGCACGGGUGCGUAACGCGUGGGAAUCUGCCCCUUGGUUCGGAAUAACAGUUGGAAACGACUGCUAAUACCGGAUGAUGACGUAAGUCCAAAGAUUUAUCGCCGAGGGAUGAGCCCGCGUAGGAUUAGGUAGUUGGUGUGGUAAAGGCGCACCAAGCCGACGAUCCUUAGCUGGUCUGAGAGGAUGAUCAGCCACACUGGGACUGAGACACGGCCCAGACUCCUACGGGAGGCAGCAGUGGGGAAUAUUGGACAAUGGGCGAAAGCCUGAUCCAGCAAUGCCGCGUGAGUGAUGAAGGCCUUAGGGUUGUAAAGCUCUUUUACCCGGGAUGAUAAUGACAGUACCGGGAGAAUAAGCUCCGGCUAACUCCGUGCCAGCAGCCGCGGUAAUACGGAGGGAGCUAGCGUUAUUCGGAAUUACUGGGCGUAAAGCGCACGUAGGCGGCUUUGUAAGUAAGAGGUGAAAGCCCAGAGCUCAACUCUGGAAUUGCCUUUUAGACUGCAUCGCUUGAAUCAUGGAGAGGUCAGUGGAAUUCCGAGUGUAGAGGUGAAAUUCGUAGAUAUUCGGAAGAACACCAGUGGCGA